ACGAAAAAUAGACAGAAGCUCGCACCCGAAUCCUCGUGCCCUCGACGCGGCCUCUGAGACCCGCCAUUGCGGAACCCCUCCAUCUCUCAGACCACAUCGCCGCCGCCGCCGACCUCUCCCAGUCCCUCUCGUACCACGCCGCCGGCCCCCCUCCCCUCCCCUCCCCUCAUCAGAAAGAAGGAGAGACAGGGAUGCUCUUCCUCAGACGGCGGCGGCGGCCAGAUCGAGCAGGGCAGGGCACCACACGGCGCUCUCCGAUCCGCCACGGUCGCAAGAGGAAUCGCGCCGGAUGGGAGAGGACCGUCUGCUACGACUGCUUCGUGCGUCGUUGUUGGAGAUGCUCGCGCGCCGGGAGCUUCCUCCGCUCUCCCCCUGCCCCGACCGUAGACGCAGCAGCAGCGCACACCGCCAUUGGUUGUGGCUGGUUGUACCUCGGAGCUCCUUCCUUCCUGCUUCCCCUGAUUGCGCCUCCGGGGACUAGCGAUGAACUUGUUUUCUGGAUCCCAAAUGGAGGAUGAAGUUGAAUAUAUAUACUACAGCCGGAUGAUCAAGUCCAAGUAUUCGUAUGUUGCUAUAUUGUUAGUCACUAGCAUGUGCCCAUGGCACCCAAGCUGGCGUAGGCGCUGCAGAUUGCCCUCUCGCCAAAGCCUCAACCAGCUGGUGAAAUAGCUGCAGAAUUACAGUGUACCUCAAAUUUCAUAAUUGGGAACUGCAGUCAUGGGUAUCUUGUGGCUUCAUCAGUUCAUCACUAUCUUAUAAGGCGGGAAUUACUCAGCACAAUAUUACUCAUGCACUGGAAAAGACCAAAUAUCCAGAUCGAGACAUACUGGAGGAAAUUUGAUGAGAAGUAUCAUUUUUCUUGUCAGUUUACUUCUGAUAUAAUCGCUAUGAACACUGUUGAUUUCAUAAUCAAUGCACUUGAUGUUUCACGAUCUGUACUGCAGAUUUUCAGAACACUAAGGGCAUAUCUUGGCUUGGAAUGCUGAUGGUUGGGCGAACGCCAUGGAUCAUGGCAAGUGCGAUUUUCAGAACACUAAGGGCAUAUCUUGGCUUGGAAUGCUCAUGGUUCGACGAACGUCAUGGAUCAUGGCAAGUGCUCCUCUCCACUUCCCCUCCCUGCUAAAAAUCAGUUCCAAUUGUUGUACAAGUUUCCCGAUAUGGCUUUCUGAAUUUUAAUUUGUCGCUUGUUCUGUCGUACUCGGUGGUUAUUGUUUGGCCUACAUAUAGAGGUAAAUGUUUUGUAUGAGAUUAUUUAUCCGGACCUCACCGAUGAUUACUUGAACUCAGGUUGGACAACAUAUGAAAUGUUAAAUUUAGCAAGAUAUUGCGAUUCGAUUUCUCUUUCAAUGUCAUCAUCCUGCAAUGGAUGUGUAUGUCUAUUUUGUCAUCUAGUUGCGAUGCAUGGGCACUUUCAUUUGAUUAUACAGUUCUACUGCGGGAAGGGAAAUAUGGACUCUGGAUGUCCAUUUCUGAGGUGUCAAUCUGGUGCUCGGCUAUAUAGUACAGGGAAGAGUUCUUCUAGAUCCUAAUACAGGUAAUCUGAUUCAUAGCUUAGGUGCAUUUUUCUUUAUUCAUAGUUAGCUAAUAGCAAUAACAUCUGCACUUUCCCUACAACCUAUAUUGAAGGUAAAGUAAUGAUUUCACAUAUGCACUUUCCCUACAACCUAUAUCGAAGGUACUAACUGCAAUAUUUUCCAUAUGAACCUGAUAAAGAUAGUACUAAUACCUUGAAUUUCUACAAAGAAUAGGUGACACCAAGUUGCCAACCAUUUUUGGACCUGUCAUCUUUUUCCCCACUAGGGCGCUUCCUUCAAAUUUAUCAUGGGUGCCCUCAAGUUGACACGCUUGUUCUUAUUGUUGCUUAUGUAUGAAUUUCCUGAGAGCUGCUUACGUAUUUUUUAUUCAUGAAUUACAUGACCAAUGAGUCAGGUGUGAAGAUGUUUUAUAAAUCAAGACAACCAACAUGCUGAAAUUUUGGAGCAAUUGCUGAAGGAAAGUACCACUUACUCUUGUUUCUAGUAGAUUUCAUCAUUUUAUUCUUAGAGUCAGCUACAUAGUUAAUAUUGCAAAACUUAUAGUUCAUGGUGAAGGAAAGUACCUAUUGCAAGUAGACUUCAUCAUCUUAUUCUUAGAGACAGCUACAUAUGGUUAAUAUUGCAAAACUUGAAGUUCCGGUUUGUGAUAUGUACGUCCCCCUCUGCAGAAAUGCUUAAUACUACUAUGAGAAAAGUAGGGAAAUGCUCACCCUCUGCAAAAUGUAUUGGUUCGUCUCGCGGUCUCACCCCCAAAAAUAGAGGAGAGGAGCAAGGAGCUCCUCCAUCACACUCGUAGGCUCCAAGGAGCCCGCCGCCAUGCAUGGAGGAGAGGAGCAGGGAGCUCCGCCGCCGCAUAAGGUUAUAUCCAUUGUUGCAUCUUGUAAUUAUUAAUUUGGAAUAAAUCAUGCAAUUGGCAUUUAUAUAAGUUUGUAGGCAAACCAAGUCUGCAACUUUUGAAUAUUAUACUCGGUGAGUUGCUCAACUACUUACAGUCCUAUUACUUGAGACUUAUACUUGAUCAGUUGCCGUGUACAUUAUUAUGACAUAGAUGAAACCAUGUCUAUGUUGAAGCUAGAUGGAACUGACCAUCUAAACAUAUGUCAAAUUAUUGUGGUACAUGCUUCAGUACUGCAAGUUGGAGUAGCAAGUAAGUAUAAAUCAAAAGAAAGUAUUGCUUCAGUACUGACCAUCUAAAAAGUUCAGUUGUUUAUUGACAUGUGCAUCUUGUUCAUCCUUUUGUUAUUGAAUUUGGAAACGCGUGUAAGGUUUCCGUAUCUUGAAGUUAUGAAUACUGAGAAGUGCAAGCCUUUCUCUUCUAGAAAUUACGGAAUUGGCUCACACACUAUCAAAUAAUUUGAUGCACUCUUUUUUUAUUUUAAAUGGUUAGGAGGAACAAGUGAAGGCUUCUAUUUUGGAUCAGUUCUUUUAUUGCAUAGUUGGAUAACAAUUUCUUAAUGAUUAUUAGAAUGAUACUCAAACAUAUGAACGUUCUCCAUAAUCAGAUUAAAUCACUCCUGCAGCCUGCAACUGUAGUAAAUAAAAUUAUUUAGAUUCAAGCUAAAAAAGAAUUAUUCAGAUUCUACCAUGUAUCUACUUACAAACUAAAAGAGAAUGUAACCAUAUAAUGAUUAUUUAGAUUCAAGCUAGAAAAGAAUUAUCCACACGCCAACAAUUUAGGUAAGAGAUUUACGCCCCGCUUGGAAUCGGUGUAUCUAUAUCCUGUAUUUAUUUUACAAGUGUAUUUUACCGGCCACGCUUGAUAAUCCACCUGGAUAAAAAAAGAUGGAUGGAGGCGUGUAAGUUUUACAGGUGUAUAGCGCUCUGAAACGAGAAUCCAAUCAGGCCCUUAGAUUAUUUGUGUAGGUUAUUAUAAUAUAUAAUGCAGAGAUCUCAGGGUAUAAGGUGCAGCAAUAAGUCUUGGUUUUAUUUUGCAUUUUGAGUACUGAAUUACAAAAGAUAUGAUGCUUGCACGAAAUUUCAGUGUCAUGAUAAUUUUCACUUCACAAAAAGAUUGAAACAUUGCUCCUACAACUGUGGUACCUGUUUGCUGUGAUGGAAGGUUACGGGUAAGCUCACUUAUCACAGGAAAGAAAUGAUUGGUUCAGUGUGCUUCACGAAAUUAACUUGCCACUGCAACACAAUUUACAGUUCAUCAGUUUUGAGCCUAAGUUCCAUUUUAUUGAUGCUUCCUUUAUACAUAGAUUUAUUGGCUUGCCUCUUCCUCUGCCAUUUGAUUUCCUUCAGAUUACUUGCAUCAUAAAUUUCAAGGUUACAGAUCUGGCAUUGAAUGAGACAAUCAUUAUUAGGAUUGAAGGAUGCUUCAAUGAUGCUGUCAGCAGUAAGAAACACUUGCAAAUGUAUGUCUCGUCUGUUUAAACGUGCGCUCUGUAAAUAAAUGUAGGCAACUGUCACAAUAUUGAUUAGUGCAAUAUUUGAAUAAGAAGUAGUAGUUUUAGAUUUUGUGUAGCUGUAUAGUAUCUCAGUUAUGAAAUAAAUAAUAGCCUUCCUCGAAAUAGUUUUUUUUGCGUUGCUUUUUAUAACUCAAUUGAUUUUCUUAUUUUAUAGUAUUAAAACAAAAUGGCCUGCCGAGAUCAAUAUCGGUGACAUAGAUAGCUUUAAUGGGAUGAUGAAGCAUUUGACCUGAGACGAGUGUCGGGAGGGGCUAAGCAUGAUUGCGACGAGGGCGAGACGUUGCUGCGACCGUGACCGCAACCGGUGGAGCGAGGCGCCAGUGAUCGUGUUUUCCGCUGGUGUUUUUGAUCUGCCGUGCUCGGUUUUUGGCAGCUUCGAUCCAAUUGAUCCCCUCCAGAAGCAUUCAGGCGUCCAGAGGUUCAACUGCGUGGGUAGGAGCUCGGCCACUGAAUGCAGGCGUCCAGAGGUUCAACUGCGUGGGCAGGAGCUCGGCUGGUUUGCUUAUAUGCAUUUUUUUCUUCAACAUUGGAUUAUUUUGGUAGUUCAUGCAUGUCCGUCCUCUUUAUAUGGUUUUUCUCAUAAUUCACGCCCCAAAGAUAGGUUCUUUUAGUUACUACAUAUUUUAGUUUUUUCUGCUUACUGUCAUGUCCACUUUCUUGUCUGAUUAAGCAACUAAUAUAUGAAUAUCUGUGCACAGUUCUACCAUUUUUGCACUCACUUAUGGGGCCAUCUAUGUUGAGUUUGUUCUGCUAUUCUCCAACUUAAAUCAAGAAUGCAGUCUCAUGUCAUUGUCUUUGCUAAUACAGAUUGUAAUGCAAUCCAAUUGUAGUGUCAUGUUUCAGCUCCUUUUAUUUUAAUCGUGAUGUGCAUGGUUGUUCAUGUUCUCUUCUUGCCAUGCACUAAUCGAAGUGUACAUGUAGAUGCUCAAAAUUGCUUAUCAUCAAAUUACUUGACUUAUGUACUGCUUGGACUUGUUUAAUUAAAGAGACGUCUCUUUAAAUUGACUAUAUUUACUUUGUCACACAUCAUUUGGGUCUUUUGCAUUGCCGAGAGUUGUUACCCGAAAGUUCAUACAUUGUAUAAUUUCUUGUUAUCCUUCUGUGCAUGGAGCCAUCUUCUGGGUAGUACAAUCCAGGUCGACCAUGUUGAGAUAAUCAUCAUUUUAAUUAUGACAGCUUACCAAGUUUAAUAUUUCAGUUCUCCGAAACAUAAUCUGAUUAUGACAGCUUAUCAAAUUUAAUAUUCUGCACAUGGUGAACUUCAUCAAAUUAGGAUACGGAUACCUACUUGUUUUAUCAUUCUAUCAGCAACCUAAGCUCUUACUGUAAGAUAUUAAACCCAUUUGUAUUUCAGACCUUGCACGCUUCUGAUGGGGAAGAAAAAAGUGACUUGUCCCUAUGGAGACAAUGGAUCUCCUCUGUAUCAAGGCUGCCGGUGGAAGCUUACGCCAGUCGCCCGUGAUUCGUUCAAUCGCGUCUCAUCUACCGGUUCUCCCUAAUGCACACAUCCAGGCGAUUCAAUCCCCUCCUUCAUCCUUACCUCAUGAGGAAACCGCCAGCCACUCGUUCUGUCUCAUUCCUCUCAUCUCUCAAGCUCGUUUUGUCCCUCUCUCACAGCACCUUAUUUCUCCUUUUCAUCUAGCGUCACUACCGGACGUAGUUGCGAGGGUGAAUGUGGGGGGCAGGUGGCGAGCCGAAUGCAAGUGCGAGUGAGGCGUCUGGCACGGGCAGCAAGGACGAACGCGUGCACGAGCCGUGCUGCUGCAGGAGGUGCCGCAACGUGAUGCAACUGAGGAGGUACAACCGCCGGUUAGUGAAGCUGCAACUGUCAGAUGGUGCCUACAUUCAGACGGCCGGCUGCAAGCAUGGCGAGAUGGAAAGCUGCGACAGGCAAAGAUUUUUGUUGGAACCGGUGACAUGUUUUGUUGGGAUCGACAGGGCGAUGUGCUACGACGGUGACGCAGGGGCGGCGACGGUGUGUUGGGACCGGGAAGACGAAUAACUUCAACCGACAAUGAUAUUUGCUGGAACCAGUGGCAUGUUUUGUUGGGACCGGAGGAGCGACGUGCUUGCAUCGGUGACGGCGUGCGGGGACCAGCAAGACAAAAAGCUACAACCGCCAAUGAUUUUUGCUGGAACCAUUCAUGAUGACACCGCGACACGUGACGAGGGGGGGGGGUCGCGUUUUUGCUGCAUCUAUUAUCAUUUUUGCUACGCUCGAUGUUGAAGAUGCUAUGGUGACGGGCUCGUCAUCUAUGCGGAGCUGCAACCAUUGGAAGGCCAGACAAGUGCUUCCUGCUUCCUAGGAAGGCAAGGAAUCAAGUACUGCAACGUCCGCCACUUUUUGCUGCGACAACCUUUGGAUGGGCGCAGCGAGCCGCGGCGCUGCAAGCGGUCGAUGAGGGGGUCAUGCGCUAUCUUUCCUACGACGAGGGACGGAACGAGCACCGAGGUGCCUCGAGCUGGUGGGCGCGAGAUGAAUUUUAGGCGGCUGUUCCAUGUCUAUUUUUGCUUGUUAUGACAGAGAUUGAGAUAGAUUAUGGCGAUAUUCAGCAACGAUCUAUCACAAGGUUCCUAAGACGAUGUUUUUGGAAGAGGCUAAAAAUUCAUUGAAUUUUAUACAACAAUA